UCCAGAUAUUGCACCACGUGUUUUACUGCACAAGUGCACGGGGUGUAGUCGUCGCUGGGCCCGUCAGUCCGUCUGUGGCGACCGUAAGAAGACAUAUUUAAGUGCUUGGAGACCGCCACAGCAGCAACAGCAGCGGCAGUUUGCAGGUCUUCGGGCGUCUUGAGGAUCGUGUGCUGGACCUCGUCUCGAGCCUCUUCAAGACCGUACUCAAGAAUCCUGCC